rnacentral:misc_RNA from 1 species
AAGUCGUAACAAGGUUUCCGUAGGUGAACCUGCGGAAGGAUCAUUCACACAAAGUCCAUAGCUUAGUGCAUGUAUGUGUCAAAGCAUAUGUGUAUUAAGUUUAUGUGAUUUACAACCAAAAAACUAAAACUAAACGCGAACUGUACAACCCUUUUUUUAAAAUAACCAAAUGCUUUAAGUUACGCGGUAGAUGAAAGUCUAUGCGGUGUUCUUGGCGAGUUAGCAUGUCGACUGAUGACGCUCUGAGCAAUCCGGGCUAGUUAGUUGUUAAUUUUGUUGUUAGUCCUAUAUUUGGUGGAUUCCUUAUAGGCGGAAAUGUAGAAAUACGAAAUAUAUACAACUCUUUGCAAUGGAUAUCUUGGUUCUC